rnacentral:misc_RNA from 1 species
UGUAGGAGCUGCCGCAGGCUGCGAUCUUUUGAUCUUUGAUCGUCAAAAGCAAGAUCAAACGAUCGCAGCCUGCGGCUGCUCCUACA